rfam:Tamlana sp. s12 contig19, whole genome shotgun sequence.
UAAGGUGGUUAUAGCGAUGGGGCUCACCUCUUACCAUUCCGAACAGAGAAGUUAAGCCCAUUAGCGCCGAUGGUACUACAUUAGUGGGAGAGUAGGUCGUUGCCUUUU